GACGUACGCUGGCGGCGUGCUUAACACAUGCGAGUCGAACGGAAAGGCCCUGCUUUUGUGGGGUGCUCGAGUGGCGAACGGGUGAGUAACACGUGAGUAACCUGCCCUUGACUUUGGGAUAACUUCAGGAAACUGGGGCUAAUACCGGAUAGGAGCUCCUGCUGCAUGGUGGGGGUUGGAAAGUUUCGGCGGUUGGGGAUGGACUCGCGGCUUAUCAGCUUGUUGGUGGGGUAGUGGCUUACCAAGGCUUUGACGGGUAGCCGGCCUGAGAGGGUGACCGGCCACAUUGGGACUGAGAUACGGCCCAGACUCCUACGGGAGGCAGCAGUGGGGAAUAUUGCACAAUGGGCGGAAGCCUGAUGCAGCAACGCCGCGUGCGGGAUGACGGCCUUCGGGUUGUAAACCGCUUUCGCCUGUGACGAAGCGUGAGUGACGGUAAUGGGUAAAGAAGCACCGGCUAACUACGUG
rnacentral:rRNA from 1 species